rnacentral:rRNA from 1 species
UACGUAGGGGGUUAGCGUUGUCCGGAUUUAUUGGGCGUAAAGAGCGUGUAGGCGGCCAGGUAGGUCUGCUGUGAAAACUCGAGGCUCAACCUCGAGACGUCGGCGGAAACCAUCUGGCUAGAGUCCGGAAGAGGAGAGUGGAGUUCCUGGUGUAGCGGUGAAAUGCGCAGAUAUCAGGAAGAACACCCGUGGCGAAGGCGGCUCUCUGGGACGGUACUGACGCUGAGACGCGAAAGCGUGGGGAGCGAACAGG